rnacentral:rRNA from 1 species
GGACCUUUUAAAAGCUUGCUUUUAAAAGGUUAGCGGCGUGACGGGGUGAGUAACACGUGGGCAACCUGCCUGUAAGAUCGGGAUAACGCCGGGAAACCGGGGCUAAUACCGGAUAGUUUUUUCCUCCGCAUGGAGGAAAAAGGAAAGACGGCUUUUGCUGUCACUUACAGAUGGGCCCGCGGCGCAUUAGCUAGUUGGUGGGGUAAUGGCUCACCAAGGCAACGAUGCGUAGCCGACCUGAGAGGGUGAUCGGCCACAUUGGGACUGAGACACGGCCCAAACUCCUACGGGAGGCAGCAGUAGGGAAUCUUCCGCAAUGGACGAAAGUCUGACGGAGCAACGCCGCGUGAGUGAAGAAGGCCUUCGGGUCGUAAAACUCUGUUGCCGGGGAAGAACAAGUGCCGUUCGAACAGGGCGGCGCCUUGACGGUACCCGGCCAGAAAGCCACGGCUAACUACGUGCCAGCAGCCGCGGUAAUACGUAGGUGGCAAGCGUUGUCCGGAAUUAUUGGGCGUAAAGCGCGCGCAGGCGGUUUCUUAAGUCUGAUGUGAAAUCUUGCGGCUCAACCGCAAGCGGUCAUUGGAAACUGGGAGGCUUGAGUGCAGAAGAGGAGAGUGGAAUUCCACGUGUAGCGGUGAAAUGCGUAGAGAUGUGGAGGAACACCAGUGGCGAAGGCGGCUCUCUGGUCUGUAACUGACGCUGAGGCGCGAAAGCGUGGGGAGCAAACAGGAUUAGAUACCCUGGUAGUCCACGCCGUAAACGAUGAGUGCUAAGUGUUAGAGGGUUUCCGCCCUUUAGUGCUGCAGCUAACGCAUUAAGCACUCCGCCUGGGGAGUACGGCCGCAAGGCU